GACGAACGCUGGCGGCGUGCUUAACACAUGCAAGUCGAACGGAAAGGCCCUGCUUUUGUGGGGUGCUCGAGUGGCGAACGGGUGAGUAACACGUGAGUAACCUGCCCUUGACUUUGGGAUAACUUCAGGAAACUGGGGCUAAUACCGGAUAGGAGCUCCUGCUGCAUGGUGGGGGUUGGAAAGUCUCGGCGGUUGGGGAUGGACUCGCGGCUUAUCAGCUUGUUGGUGGGGUAGUGGCUUACCAAGGCUUUGACGGGUAGCCGGCCUGAGAGGGUGACCGGCCACAUUGGGACUGAGAUACGGCCCAGACUCCUACGGGAGGCAGCGGGGGGGAAUAUUGCGCAAUGGGCGGAAGCCUGAUGCAGCAGCGCCGCGUGCGGGAUGACGGCCUUCGGGUUGUAAACCGCUUGCGCCUGUGACGAAGCGUGAGUGACGGUAAUGGGUAAAGAAGCACCGGCUAACUACGUG
rnacentral:rRNA from 1 species